rnacentral:lncRNA from 1 species
GCUGCUUUCCCAUUGACAUGCUUGGUGACAUGCAUCAUUGGUUUGUUGUCUUUCAUUGGUGCGUCAUCGCCUCUCCUCUCACUCCUGAACUCUUCCAAAGGAGUUGCAAAUGCCACAAAAUUUUGCAUGUCUUUGUAUAUUUGCAGUUGUUUAUGCUCUGCAACAGAAGAUAUUCAGGCAACAAAGUGCAUGAUAUGACAGGCUUUGUGAUCUAUGCCCGCUGGAAGCGACUGCUAUUCAUUCCGGAUCUACGCUUGGACCAAGCUGGACAAGUGCGCGAAAGCUAAGCCAUUUUAUGGUAGCAAGAAAUUGCAAGACUCGCAGCAGAUGACAUGCAGGCCUCCUUUUGCGGGGAGGCCAAGUUAUUACAUUGAUAGCAUAUAUUGAGACGGUCAAGGUUUCUGCACCUUGUCCUCUAACAACGUAAGGAGCGGUCACAAUGCUGCCAAGUAGAACACAUUGAGACUGAAUCAGGCCUGGGCAUAUGCAUACUAUGGCUAGUAAGCAUACAGAAUCGUGUAUGGUUGGAGCCACAUGCACCUUUAUUUAAUAAGUCGCAUUGAUGAGAUCAAUUUGCAAUAAUGGUUCCCUAGACUUAUUUCAAAGUCAUGGACAGGCCUGAAAUUUUCAAAAAGCGCUUCCUGAAAUCCUAGAAAAUCCUCAUAGAACGCAUGUUUUAAAAUUCUGGGACACUUUCUGCUGGAUCUUUGCCCGUUAUAAGGUUCAGCGGAAAUUAUAGCUUUGCAGCAUUGAUCAUGCUUCCUCCUAUCUAAUCUACACUUGCAUGACAUUCAGGUCGGGAACUCUCAAAGGUAAUUCAAUGAAUUUGAGGCUCCAGAUGCAAAACUGAUACACUCUGAAGCACCGCUGUAGCGGUGCACAUGGCCUUCAAAAAGACAGCGACUGACAAUAUACACUGGUUUUUUGUCUGACCGGGG